rnacentral:rRNA from 1 species
GACGAACGCUGGCGGCGUGCUUAACACAUGCAAGUCGAACGCUGAAGCUCAGCUUGCUGGGUGGAUGAGUGGCGAACGGGUGAGUAACACGUGAGUAACCUGCCCUCUUCUUUGGGAUAACGCCCGGAAACGGGUGCUAAUACUGGAUAUUCACUGAUUCUCGCAUGGGGGUUGGUGGAAAGGUUUUUUCUGGUGGGGGAUGGGCUCGCGGCCUAUCAGCUUGUUGGUGGGGUGAUGGCCUACCAAGGCUUUGACGGGUAGCCGGCCUGAGAGGGUGACCGGUCACAUUGGGGCUGAGAUUCGGCCCAGACUCCUACCGGAGGCAGCAGUGGGGAAUAGUGCACAAUGGGCGAAAGCCUGAUGCAGCGACGCCGCGUGAGGGAUGGAGGCCUUCGGGUUGUAAACCUCUUUCGCUCAUGGUCAAGCCGCAGCUUUGGGUUGUGGUGAGGGUAGUGGGUAAAGAAGCGCCGGCUAACUACGUG